rnacentral:rRNA from 1 species
AUACGGAGGGUGCAAGCGUUAAUCGGAAUUACUGGGCGUAAAGGGUUCGUAGGCGGUUAUUUAAGUCAGAUGUGAAGGCCCUGGGCUCAACCUAGGAAUUGCAUCUGAUACUGAGUAACUAGAGUUUAAGAGAGGAGUGUGGAAUUUCCGGUGUAGCGGUGAAAUGCAUAGAGAUCGGAAGGAACAUCAGUGGCGAAGGCGGCACUCUGGCUUAAAACUGACGCUGAGGAACGAAAGCGUGGGUAGCAAACAGGAUUAGAUACCCUGGUAGUCC